GACGAACGCUGGCGGCGUGCUUAACACAUGCAAGUCGAACGGAAAGGCCCUGCUUGCAGGGUACUCUAGUGUCGAACGGGUGAGUAACACGUGGGUGAUCUGCCCUGCACUUCGGGAUAAGCUUGGGAAACUGGGUCUAAUACCGGGGAUGACCGCACCUGAGGGUGGGUGUGGGUGAAAGUUUUUUCGGGGUAGGAUGAGCUCGCGGCCUAUCAGCUUGUUGGUGGGGUAAUGGCCUACCAAGGCGGCGACGGGUAGCCGGCCUGAGAGGGUGUACGGCCACAUUGGGACUGAGAUACGGCCCAGACUCCUACGGGAGGCAGCAGUGGGGAAUAUUGCACAAUGGGCGCAAGCCUGAUGCAGCGACGCCGCGUGGGGGAUGAAGGCCUUCGGGUUGUAAACUCCUUUCGCUAGGGACGAAGCUUUUUGUGACGGUACCUAGAUAAGAAGCACCGGCUAACUACGUG
rnacentral:rRNA from 1 species